rnacentral:lncRNA from 1 species
GAGAGGGUGUGCCGGUGGAGACGGAGAUUCGCCGGCGUGACGGUUGUGUUUUUCUUGUUUUCUUUAUUUUUUAUUUUAGCAUAAAGAGACGGAUGUAUAUUGGAGAGUGAGCGGAAGAGACUGGGUACUGUUAAUCCCCUCUUUCUUUUCGUUUCUUUUUCUUUAUUUCAUAGAGAGAGUUUCGUGUCCCUUUAUUUUGAAGAGAUUCUCUUUUUUCUAAUUUUCCUGCCAAGGAGACCGUUAUUGGUGAGGGAGUGCAUUGUUUGUAUAUCUUUUGUUUUUUAGCGAGAGCCUCCCCUUUACGCGUGGCAUUAUGUGGAUAUCCCCUUAUUGGUGGUCCAAGUGACCAUUAGUAGUGGAGGAAAU